rnacentral:rRNA from 1 species
CACGUAGGGGCCAAGCGUUGUCCGGAUUUAUUGGGCGUAAAGAGCUCGUAGGCGGUUGGGUAAGUCGGGUGUGAAAACUCCAGGCUCAACUUGGAGACGCCACCCGAUACUGCUCUGAUUUGAGUUCGGUAGGGGAGUGGGGAAUUCCUGGUGUAGCGGUGAAAUGCGCAGAUAUCAGGAGGAACACCGGUGGCGAAGGCGCCACUCUGGGCCGAAACUGACGCUGAGGAGCGAAAGCGUGGGUAGCAAACAGG